AUGGCUUCUAAGCUUUUACCUUCUCUAGAAUGUUUAUUUGAGUCACAGUCUUCCACUCGCCCAAAUUCCAUGUUUGCCUCUAAAGAAGCCUGCCCAGUCCUGCGUAUUAUGUACCAGACAGUCAUUCUGAUCAUUGAGUCAAAUGUGUAGAACAUUGAACUCAAAGUUUAUGCAAUUUCUCCACCAUAUGUUUGCUAGAGGAAACUUCUGAGUAAGUUUGUGUUUUCACAUAGAAUCCACACUUUUUUCCAUAAAAUGAAUGAAGGUCUAUUUGGUGUUCUGAUCCUGCCACAGCUCACUUCUGUUUCUCAUUCUGUAAUUUUUAAUGUCCUUCAGAAAACCUUAUGCUGUGCUACUCUUAACAUGUAUUAUCGACAACCAUCCACAAAAGAACAUGAACCUUAGAAGUUCAAUAUGAUUGGGGAAUAUGAACUGCAGAAGCAGAAGAGAUGUAAGGCCAGAGUUCAGAAGUCUGGGUGUCUAUGCUUUGUAUUUUAUUACACAGAUGAAAGUGUGUCACUUGCUGGGGCUUAAAGACAGUAUCUCUCACGUGAUGUAUCUGGAAUGAAUACUCACUAAAAACAAGCAUUAUUUCUGACAUCUGUUGCUUGUUUGGAUGGCAAACCGGCAAGUGUUGAAAUUUGUGAUAACGGUCAGAAAGAAAGUAUACAGUCCAGUGGCCAUGGAAACCUCAUAUAGUUUUUUCCUGUUUCUUUUUCUACACUUUCUUAGUGAAUGAAUUGCUGGUGAAUCCAGCUGGAUGGCAGCCCAAGAGACUGCAGUGCUCAGCUCAGCCACAGCAUAGGGCAAACCUAGUCAAAAGCAAUGAGCUUUCUCUUUGCAUGUCCUCACCAAAGUACUAUUUUCAGUAAGCAACUUUUUUUAAGGAAAAGUAAUUCAUUGUCUCAGGAA
rnacentral:lncRNA from 1 species